rnacentral:misc_RNA from 1 species
AACGCACAUUGCGCCCGCCAGUACUCUGGCGGGCAUGCCUGUUCGAGCGUCAUUUCAACCCUCAAGCCCCCGGCUUGGUGUUGGGGUCCUGCGGCUGCCGCAGGCCCCGAAAUGGAGUGGCGGGCUCGCGGCGAACUCCGAGCGUAGUAGAAUCCUAUCUCGCUAGGGAGGCGCAGCGCGCUCCGGCCGUUAACGGAACUUUUAACCCAAGGUUGACCUCGGAUCAGGUAGGAAUACCCGCUGAACUUAA